rnacentral:misc_RNA from 1 species
UUCAACGCCCGCCUCUGUCCCGUACUUUGGCACCCCCGCUGUAACGUCUGCUCAUCGCCAUUCUAUUACCACUGCCCUCCUCCCCUUUCAACUCACACAGGCACUGUCCAUCAGCUGCAAGAGGGUGUGCUUCGUGCCACAAGCUCUCUGCGCGUUUGUCUCUUGUUGGUGAGUUUGGCAUCCGCCUCAUGGUACCGGCCCGACUCGUUCUCGGCCCCUUUCUCCCCCUUUCUCCUCACCUCUCCCCAGCGUUCGAGCUUGGCCCACCUCCCCAUUCUCCACUCAUUCUGCUACUGCUGUUUGUUGUUGCCUCGUGGUGCCUAGCGCUUCUUCCCCUUUCCUUCGUGUUUGGCCUUUGGCUCUCCUCCCUGAGCAGGUGUGCUUCAGCUUCUUCUUUUGUGUGCGCGUCCUUUUACGCUGUUGUAGCUGAUCAUCGUCACCGCAUCUCACCAUAGACCGAAGGGGCAUCGUGGACAGUCGUGUGCUGCGUGCGCUGUUCUACAGUGUGCGCCACACACGUGUGCGCGACCCCCUCCCCCUUUCCCAUUGGCGAGCAGAAACCGCGCAGUGUUCGCCAUCCAUCUCUGCUUGUUUGGCGCCCUAAUUUUUCAUUUACUUUUCUCGCGCUCUCGUCGUCGUUACGUCGCCAUUCCGGCUCAUCAUUCUUUCGUUUGUGUGCGUGUGUGCGUCUCUCUCUGGGCCCGUUUGGUCUUUGCUGCCACUGGUGGCACCCCUCCCCCCCCCCCCCCCCCCCCCCACACACACACGAACACCGACACAGACAGACGCUCUUUUCCUCUCCAAGGAAAAAAGGGAGCAAGGGAGGUGAACGAGAAACAAGCACGCACCAACAAGCAAAGCUAUAAGAAAGAGAGGAAAUCGGAAACGCCACCAACAGGAAAAAAAAUUAUUAUUAUUAUUUUUUUUUGUCUGCCGUGUUUGUUCAAACGAAGAAAAAAGGAAAACGAUAAACGUAAAAAAUCCGCUGAAAAAAAAACAGAAGAUUAAGAAAGCAUCAGGCACCGGAGAGAAAGGGAACAGACCUGCAUCCACUGUCUGCCCCCUCCCCACCUCCCCCCUUUCCCUCCCACUUGUUCACCAUUGCGUACGCGUUCCUGUAUCUCUGUGUGUGUGUGCUCGCGUGCGCGUUAGUCAUUUGCAAGGAAGGGGAAAACAGAAGAAUAGGACGCAGAACAAACCUCCAACGAAAGCGAAGUCGUAACAGCAAAGGGGCCCGAAACACACACACAAAAAAACGUGACCACUAACCGCUCAUUUCAAUUCGCUUCUUCCUUUCCACCGCGGCGCCUUUCUCCGUGCGAGUGUGUUUGUGUGCAUCUGUGAGCCUCCCUAUUCCGUCUUUCCUUUUCGUCUCCAUCUGAUUCACCGAAUUCGACUUAAAGCUCCGCACGUUCCCAUCUCUUCCUCCUUCCUGUUUUUCUCUCUGCGGUUUUCUAUCAUUGUCUUCAUCUCUCUCUUUUUGCUUGGCUUGCCGCUUGGCGUGUGUGUUUGGCUCCGUUUCGAGCGCUGAGUGCCCCUUCUCUGUUUGUCACUUUUCUCCUUCCUUUCCCCUUUUUGUAGUUUGGCUUUCUUUUCUUCGUAUCUUUGUUUGGCUUGUCCUUUGACCUGCCCCUGCCAUCUUCCUCUCUCGUACCCCUGUUCUACUGCCACGAUCACUACCUACGGCGACCAAGAACACCCUUCUCUCUUCUCCCAAGUGAGGACUCCUUUUUUGUUGUUUUUACUUACUGUUUUUUUUUGUCGUUUUCAUCACUGCCGCUUUCUUUUGUGUGCUCCACUCCCUCUAUCCCUCACCUUUUAUUUUCCCCUCCAUCAAGGCGAUACGAACAUCUAACACGACAGCGACGCUCUGUUGGUUUGUGAGGGUUUCUUCUGUUUUUUUUUUCGUGUUCUUUUUUUCUUGGAUCUCUUCCCCACCCCUGUUUUCUCAUCUCUUUUUCCCCCACUUUUUCUUUGUUGUGUAAGUUGGAUUUUAAUUGUCAUCUCCUUUUCUUGCUAUAACUCCCUCCGUGUUGUUCGUAGCGCCACACUGACCCCAUUUUUACUUGCUUUCUUUGUCUCGCCUCUUGUCCUCUUGUAGUUUUAUAUUUGGCGCGUCGUUUUGGCGCGCUCCCUCUCUCUUCUUAUGAAGAGACGGGCAAAAAAAGACGAGGGAAAGGAAAGGCGAGCACAGUCUUCCGCUUUAUUAGAGCUUUGACUGUCGUUUUCUUUUUUUUUUUUGCGCUCGUUUCGGUGGUCUGCGUCUUCUUUGUACUCCCCAACGCCAACCCAGUCUCCCACCGCCGGUCUCUUGAAAGUGGUCUGCCCCGUUUUUCCGAGGCCUUCUCCUUCCGUCAGUAUUUUCUUUUGUUCUCUGUGCCCUCUGUGCCCCCCCCCUCCUUUUGCCUCUCUUGUCUUUGUUGUUCCUUUCUCUUUGCUUUGUGCGUUCCAAGUCACGGUAUAUCAGAACAUCAAGAGAAGGAAGCGGUCCGCCUUUGCGCGGAUCUCUCUGCUUCUCCCUCAUUUUUCUUUUUUUUGUUGUCUUCGCUUCUCAGAGCUUUUUCCACCACCCCGAAACCCGGGCACACUCUACUAGGACUUGUUACUACCCUCUCCUCCCUUUUCCCCUGCCUUUCGUCGUCUAUCUCUCUCAUUUUCCUGAUCUGAGACAAGGAGACACUGCAAACAAAGAACAGCAAAACUGCUGUCUCUGUGUCUUCUCGUUGUCCUUGCACUGUAUUGACACUCCCUUCUUCCUCUUUACUGUCGGCUUUUGUUUUUAUUCUGAUUUUCUUACUUUCACGGCGUGGCUUGCCUACUCGUGUUCCGUGGCUUUACCUUUUUCUACUGCAUAAAAGGUCAUAGGCACAAAGCGGUGUGCAUCACUGAACGGCUUUCUGAAGACCAAGGAACAUCACAACGCGGACUGCGGAUUCAAGCGCCCAUUUAGAGUCGCAAAAGCAGAGGAAAAGGGGGAAACAAAAGAGACGGCUUGCGGUGGGGGUCUACAUUGCGAGAAAGCACGAGAAGCAAGUGCAAACCGCCAUUACAGCCGUCUUGUUUUCUUUCUCUCUUACAACUCUAUUCAUGUAUUGCUCUCUUCCUUUCUCUGUCGUACGCUUUUCCUUUGUGUGUCUUGGCAAUCAAAAGUGGUAGAAUAAUUCCGUACUUCCCCGGUAUUUUCUCCCUCUCCCCACUCCUCCCACUCUUCACCUCGAAGACGCUGCGCACUCUCUUACGGACAAACCAGUAGAUCAUCGGAGGCGGACACACAACGAAGCGACGAAAUAUAAGCACAGUCACCUGCCGGAUAAGUGUCUCUCCUCUUUUUUCCUCUCCUCCUCGUCCUCUAUCUUGUCGUUGCUUCCGCCGCCAUCAUUGCUCCCUGGCCCAUCCACCUUCGUCCCUUUUUGUGUUUUUUUUUUUAAUCUCAUUUACUCUUACAUUUUUCUGGGUUUCUGGCUGUUUUAUUAUUUAGUUGCUUGUGUGCGUGUGCGUGUGUGUGAGGGUUGUCUGUGUGGCUUUGCGUGUGUAUCCUCCUAUUCGCCCCCUUCGUUGUGGGACAACCAACGGCGAAACGCAAAACCAUUCAUCAGAGGAUUCAGAGAUCGGAGGUGUACGAUUGCCCUCGCCGAUCCACCUGCGCCCCAUCCUGCUUGUCGACCCGUUUCGCUUUUUGCCGUCAGAGUUCGUCCAAAUCAUCGCCAUUCCCCCCACCUCCUUUCCCAACGCCUCUCUUCCACUGGUGGCUUUUCUUUGUUUCGGCUCUCCCGCUUUUCCUUUGUGCAUGCAUUGAGCUGGUGUGGGGGGUGCGCGAGCUUCCACGUCACCGCCUUCUUUGUUCUGGCUUUUCUUUCCCUUGUCAGCCUUUGAGAAACGCAAAGCUGGCAAAGGCCGAUCUCACGCACGGCGACCACCACCAAAAGCCCCUGUUCUCUUCGUUCUUCUGCACGAGGGGGGGAGAGAGAGAGGAACGAGGAAGCGCCGCCCUCCACGUUGUUACGGGUGUGCAGUAGCGAUACACAGCCUUGGAAAGUAGGGAAAAAAGUGCGAGAAGAAAAGCAGCCGCACCCGCUGUCCAUAGGGUACCUCUGUUCUCUGAAGCGACAUCGUUACAUCCAUCAGCCGUUGUAGACGAUUCCUAUAUAUAUAUAUAUAUUAUUCUUGUUUUCGUUUUGUGUUGCUCCCUCUAUUUUGCUUGAAGCUUGUGCGUGUGCACUGCGUUGAGGAGCAUUUUUCUUCUUUUCCGUUUCGCAUUAUUAUCAGCCGACAUCUUUUGAGCGGUACUCUACGCUCAGAGCGGCUACCUUCCAACGCAUCAAAGCUCCCUGACACACCACACACACGGCCACGGACACGGACACGAACACGAACACAGCUGCAGACAUCACUACUAUUUCUACUAGUACUACUACUUUGGUUAAAAUGUCCGGCAGCAACCGCAACGGGGACCAUCGUCACCCGUACAACACCUUUACCGCGACGGAGGGCCACUCCCCUCACUCCGACGAUGACAGCCACCCGUACACGCCACCAGCGACCUCGCGGGUCUAUCAGGACCCCAAUGCGAAUCUACCGCUCGCAGCAGCGCAGCUUUCCGAUGCGUCUGUGCCACCGACGGCAGCGACGAACACCGGUUCGUCCUCUGCUCCACGCGUGACAGCCACGCCCUCCUCGUCGAACAACGCUGCGGCUGCCGCAUCGAAGUCUGCCCCGGCGCCUGGCCCCGUCACCCUUUCCGGUCAGCCGUCAAAGGGUGUGGAGCUGGACGGAAUGGCGAUCGAGAUGACGAAAAAAUCGACCUCCCUGUCGGCGGACCUUGCCGCGAAGGGGUUGGAGGAGUUGGACGACAGCGAACACUUACCCGUCUUCUCAGGCGAGAAGUUGAACGGGAGGGCGCUCGGCGACGGCGCAGAAAAGGCCACAGCGGUGAUUGUCGGUGCCAAGGAGCACCACGCGAUGAACUUUGGAGACGAACAAGGCGACGAGCCAACUCCCGAUGCGUACGACGCCAAAGACAAGUUCUGGGCGUUGGCGCUGGAGAACGUCUUCAACCUCGUGCAGUUGGAGGACCCCCUCGCUGGUAUCGAUGCCGCCGACGCACCGCGCCAUGCCAAGGAACUCGGCGACAACGUCAUCCCAAUCAAGGGCGGCCCGAGUUGGAUUGUUAUCUUGGCGAGCCAGUUCAAAAACGCCAUCACGAUUGUUCUGCUGAUCGUUAUUAUCAUCAGCGGUGUGUUUGGGGACUGGGCUGAGUUCGGCGUCGUUCUCUUCAUCCUCUUCUUUAACGCCUUGCUUGGCUUCUACCAGGAGUACGGCGCCGAGAGGUCGCUGGCGAGUCUCAAGCAAAUGACGGCAGGUGUGGCGAAGGUGAUACGUAAUGGCAUUCCCGAGAUCAUCUUCAUUGACGAGGUCGUCGUCGGUGACGUCAUCGUGCUCGAGCAGGGCGCCUCCGUGCCGGCUGACUGUCGCAUUUUCGAGUCGAACGGGCUAGAGGUGGAUGAGGCUCUGCUGACGGGCGAGGCGCUACCGGUGGUGAAGCACGCGAACGUCAUUCGCGACCCGGAAAACCGCCUCGCUCUUGGCGACCGCAAGAACAUGGUGUACCGCAACACGCAGGUGACGCAGGGCCGCGGCAAGGCGGUGGUCGUCGCCGGUGGUCUGAACACCGAAAUGGGCAAACUUGCAAAGCGGCUGAACGACAGCAAGGGCAGUGGCAAGACGGCGCUGAUGAAGAAGCUCGACUACAUGAUGUACUUCCUGUUCCUUUGCUGUGCCGUUGCCGCCGUGAUCGUGUUCGCGGCCAACAAGAUGCGCUACACGCCGGCAACCCUCUCGUACGCCACGGCGGUGGCCAUUGCCAUUCUCCCCGAGUCGCUUUGCGCCGUCAUCACGGUUGCCAUGACCUUCUCUGUGAAGCGCAUGGCACAGCAGAAGUGUAUUGUGCGCAAGCUGCCGGUGCUGGAGGUGCUGGGCAACGUCACAGACAUCUGCUCCGACAAGACCGGGACGCUGACGGAGAAUAAGAUGGUGGUCAAGAAGGCGGUGAUUGGCGUUGACGACGUGUACAGCGUUGGCGGCGCGCCGUACGACACUCACGGCGACUUCUUCCCCGCCAUGCGAAACGGCCAGGAACAACAGCCCGUGAACAUGGCCCAUCAGCAGGAGGUGCGCUACAUCUACCAGUUUCUCAAGUGUGCCGCCCUCUGCAGCACAACGGUCCUGCAUGUCUCUGAAGAGGACAUGGACUCCCUCGCUGGCAACGGCAACCCGACCGAGAUUGCCAUCCAGGUAAUGACCUGGAAGGCCGGCCUAAACCGCGACAAGCUGGAGGAGGAGGGCUGGGAGUGCAUCACGGAGUACUCUUUCGACUCUAAGAUCAAGCGUAUGUCCACGGCAUGGGAAAACAAGGCGAAGCGCGAGCUCUACCUCUGCACCAAGGGCGCCCCCGAGCGGGUCGUUGAGCUGUGCACGUACAAGAUCAGCGAGGAUGGCAAGCUUGUCAGCCUGACGCAGCAGGACCGCGAGCAGGUCGACCAGCACAUCCGUGACUUGGCCGCGCAGGGUCUACGCACCAUCUGCUUUGCAUACCGCGAGGACGCCACGAAGAUCUUCCCGAUCCCGGCUGAAGAGCCGUUCAUCGACGCUUACGACCGCGACCAGGUCGAGCGCGACCUCGUCUUCCUGGGUAUUGUCGGCAUCUACGACCCGCCCCGCCCCGAGUCUCGACCGUCCGUCGUCGCCUGCCAGCACGCCGGCAUCUGCGUGCGCAUGCUCACGGGUGACCACACGUCCACCGCCGGCAGCAUUGCCUCGAUGCUGAACAUCAUUCGCCGCCGCGACCUCGACGACCCGGUGAAGCUGCAGGCGGGGCCUGACUUCGACAAGGUCGACCCUGAGACGAUCGACGGCUGGGCCGACCUCCCCGUCGUCGUUGGCCGCUGCUCUCCCGAGUCGAAGGUGAAAAUGAUCGAGUCGCUGCACCGCCGCAAGAAGGUGGUGGCCAUGACGGGUGACGGCUUCAACGACUCCCCCAGUAUCAAGAUUGCCGACAUUGGCUGCGCUAUGGGCUCCGGCGUCGACGUGACGAAGGGCGUCGCAGAUCUCGUCAUCACUGAUGACAACUUUGCCACCAUCGUGAAAGCUGUCGCCGAGGGACGCCGCAUCUCGCAGUGUAUCCGCAAGUUUGUUGUACAUCUGCUGUCGAGUAACGUGGCUGAGGUGAUUGCGCUGAUCUGCGGCCUGCCUAUCAGCCACGGCGGCGAGUCGGUGUUCAUCCUAUCCCCCAUCGAGAUUCUGUGGCUGAACAUGUUCACCUCGGCCCCACCGGCGACGGGUCUGUCGCUCGACAGGGCGACGGACGACAUUCUGCAGGUGCCGCCGAACACGCAGGGAUUCUUCACGAUUGAGCUGAUUGCCGACACAGUCGUUUACGGGUUCUGGCUCGGCGCCAUCACUCUGUGUGGCUUCGCGGUAGUGCUUUACGGCUUCAAGAGCGGCCCGGAGGGGACAGACUGCAACAGGCACAACGGCGUCGGCUGCGACAACAUCUGGACCGCCCGCAGCACCGCCUUUGGAAUUCUGUACUUUGGUUUGCUGAUCCACUCCUACACGGUGCGCCACCCGCGCGUCUCCAUCUUCAGAAUGCGCUGGCUCGACAACAAGUGGAUCUUCGGUUCCUGCGUCCUGGGCGGUGCGCUGUUUGUGCCGAUUGUAUACAUCAACGCGAUCGCCCAUGGCCUCUUUGUACACAGCAUGAUCACUUGGGAGUGGGGCGUCAUUGCGGUCGGCGUCAUGACCUUUCUCGCCAUCUGCGAAACCUACAAGGUGAUCAAGAACCUGAUCUUUCCGAUCCGCAAGGUGCUGGUGGAGGUGGACGAGGAGGAGGCCGAGGAUGUCGAGGAGCAGCGCCAGCGCGAGUACAACACCUUUACCCGCACCAUGCCGGACGAUCGCAACGUGGAGAGGAUCGCAAACGAGAACCUGCGCAUGUCGUUUGCCUCUCUCGCCGGCAGCGUGGCCACCGCCAACACAGGCUCCUUCCGUGUGCCCGCGCAGCGCCAGAAGAAGAAACGUAUUGGGCUCUUCCGCAAGCGCGAGUAAUAGACUGUGCUGCGCGCAUCAGCGAGAGGGACGGUGCGGACAGCAAUACAGACCUUGCGCUCACUGGUGCCCACACGUAUGGCUGUUCUUUUCGUCUGUCUCACUUCUACGCUUGUGCUUCAGCAACCUCUGCCAAAGGUGACGCGUGCGUGUGCAUGCAUGUAAGCGCGGUCGUUUCGAGGGCGCCUCGUCGCGAAAGUGCAAGGCAGAGCACUGACGUACGUGGUGAUGUGGGCAUGAGCUCCUUUCUCCCUCUUUUCUGUUAUGAUUUGCAUGUGUUGCUGUGUGUGUGUGCUCUCUUCUCUUUCUGUGUAUGUGUAUGUGUGUGUGUGUGUGCCUGUCUCUCUUUUAGUGUUUUGGUGGAUCUCCCGGUUGCCUCUUUCGCCCUUUUCAUUCACUUCUCCUCGUGUCCUCUCUUCCUCCUAUUGUGUGCAUGUUCGCUUUUCGACUCUCCCCCUUCUCUUUUUUUCCUAUCUCUUCUUCCAGUGUCUUGCGCCAGUCGGUCUUUGGCGGCCAUGACAUGUGCCAUUCCUUCUCUCUUCUCCCUCCCUCCCCCUCGCUUCUCUCCGGCGAACCCUAUCUGAUCCGCUCUUUCCGUGCCCGCCACUCAUCUCCCCACCUGCCCCGUUCCGCUGCAGGUUCCGCCCCGCAAGUCUGCAUGCGUGGAUUUAUCCUUCAGGGGUGUUUCCUGCUUCCACGUUCGUCUCUUCGCUCUCUCUCCCUUUCUCGGUGUGUGCGUGUGAUGUUCCGCAAGGCGCAUCGUUGCGCUUUUUUUCUUGUAGCUCUUUGUUUAGCCCGUCCCCUCUCUCCGCACUUUCUCCAGCUGCCACUGCGUGCCGCCCCUGUCAUGGUGAUCAUGGCUAGUCCUGAUGCGCGUGAUGCGUCUGGAGAGUGCUUCGCUCAUUGCGGCCUUCUACUCCCUCGCCCCAUCUCCUCCAUUUUUUUCCAGCUUAGUUAGAUCUGUGUCAAACACGUAUGGGGGUGUUAAGGAAGAGAAGGCGGGGAUGAGGAUGCCUGGAAAUCGCAGGGGAGAGUGUGGCGGCAGUUACACGGGGUGGGGUAGGGGAGCAAGAGCUGAGAUAAAGAGAUAAUCAAGGCGAUGCAAGGAGUCGCGCACUCGCAGCUGCGUUGCGCUUCGUGUUGCUCCUCGCGCUUUUAACCCCGGUGCUUCUCUUCCUUCUUUGCCCUUUCUUUUGGUUCUGCUUGAGGGAGGUGUACCCGGAUGACGAGGAGACACCUCAGUGCAGGGCAUCGCAGGGUCCAGUGUCCGCUCUUUGCGGGGAAGCCAAGCAGCCCCCCUCUCUCCAAUCCGUGGCAAAUGCCGAACCACUUCCUGUAGUUGCAGGGUCAAGCCCCCACAGCGUGGGGGUGUCGAAGCGAUGCAUCGCCACCGAUGUCGGCGGUCCGGCGCUGUGCAGUGUUUCGUCGGCGCCACUGGCGACCGUGAGCACGUCUGUGCCACACAUAUGAUGGGCAACGUGUCGGCGUGACUCGAGCGUAUCCCACCCGCUCCUCGCUGGCUCCUAGCGGGGGCGCCUGAGCCGCCCCGGAGAGACGCACCACGUGGCGCGACGCACCUGAUGGGGGAGCGGCUGUGAGGCGGCCUGCAGAGUGCAGGGUGGGCGGGUGGAGUGUGAGGCGGGGGCCAUGCCGAGAUGACUGAGUCGGCGCAUUGCUGUACUGGCCUGUCUACGGCUGCUUGGCCCCACGCGAUGGCGCCUCUGUGGCAGGCCGCGACGUAGAGUGGUGCUGAAAUCGUGUUGCGUCACAGAGAGACGAACACGUUGAAAAAAUUUGCUCUGUUUUGUAAGAUCUUCGGUGUGACCGGCCUACCAGAGCCCAUGU